rnacentral:misc_RNA from 1 species
GAUGAAGAACGUAGCGAAAUGCGAUAAGUAAUGUGAAUUGCAGAAUUCAGUGAAUCAUCGAAUCUUUGAACGCACAUUGCGCCCGCCAGUGUUCUGGCGGGCAUGCCUGUUCGAGCGUCAUUUCAACCCUCAAGCCCAGCUUGGUGUUGGGGAUCGGCACAGGCGCCCUCGGGCGCCCGCCGUCCCCUAAAUCUAGUGGCGGUCCCGCUGCAGCCUCCUCUGCGUAGUAGUUUUCUCCUCGCAAGGGCAGCUCGGUGGCGACCUCGCCGUAAAACCCCCAACUUCUGAAAGGUUGACCUCGAAUCAGGUAGGAAUACCCGCUGAACUUAAGCAUAUCAAUAAGCGGAGGA